CUAAUUUUAGCUCGAACAAAAUUAACCUAAACUAGUACCCCUAAUUAAAAUAAAACAUUUAUAAUUAUUAAAAGUAUAGGAGAUAGAAAUUUCACUCGACGCUGUAGAGAAAGUACCGCAAGGGAAUAAAAAAUUAAAGUACAAAAAAGCAAAGAUUAAACCUUCUACCUUUUGCAUAAUGAAUUAACUAGAAUCCCCUUAACAAAGAGAACUGAAGCUAAGCCCCCCGAAACCAGACGAGCUAUCUAAAGACAGCCCAAAGGGGCUAAUUCGUCUAUGUGGCAAAAUAGUGAAAAGAUCUUUAGAUAGAGGCGAAAAACCAACCGAGCCUGGUGAUAGCUGGUUGUCCAGUAAAUGAAUUUUAGUUCAGCCUUAAGCUUACCAAUCGCAGUAACAAGCCCUAUGUAAACUUAAGACAUAGUCUAAAAGGGUACAGCCUUUUGGACCCAGGAUACAACCUUAGUUAGAGAGUAAAUUUUUGAACCACCAUAGUUGGCUUAAAAGCAGCCAUCCAUUGAGAAAGCGUUCAAGCUCAACAAUCAGACCAUCUUAAUUAUUUAAGCACCAAACAACUCCUAAUCCCCCACUGGACUGUUCUAUUAUUAAAUAGAAGUAAUACUGUUAAUAUGAGUAACAAGAAAAUAAUUUCUCCCUGCACAAACGUAUAUCAGAACGAAUAAUUCACUGAUAGUUAACAAAUUUUAAAAUUAACCCAAAGAUUAAUCCCUUAAACCUUAAUUUGUUAACCCAACACAGGCGUGCACUACCCAAAGGAAAGAUUAAAAGGGAUAAAAGGAACUCGGCAAACACAAACCCCGCCUGUUUACCAAAAACAUCACCUCUAGCCUUAUAAGUAUUAGAGGCACUGCCUGCCCAGUGACAACAGUUCAACGGCCGCGGUAUCCUGACCGUGCAAAGGUAGCAUAAUCACUUGUUCUCUAAAUAGGGACUCGUAUGAAUGGCCACACGAGGGUUUAACUGUCUCUUAUCCCCAAUCAGUGAAAUUGACCUUCCCGUGCAGAGGCGGGAAUGUCUUAAUAAGACGAGAAGACCCUAUGGAGCUUUAAUUAACCAGUCUACAGGGACAUAAUAUUAACCUAACAGGAAUAACAAGACCCCAAUUGGACUGGCAAUUUAGGUUGGGGUGACCUCGGAACAAAAAUCAACUUCCGAGUGAUUAAUAUCUAGACAUACCAGUCAAAAUAAACUAUCAUCAUUUAUUGAUCCAAACUUUUGAUCAACGGACCAAGUUACCCUAGGGAUAACAGCGCAAUCCUAUUCAAGAGUCCAUAUCGACAAUAGGGUUUACGACCUCGAUGUUGGAUCAGGACAUCCUAGUGGUGUAGCCGCUACUAAGGGCUCGUUUGUUCAACGAUUAAUAGUCCUACGUGAUCUGAGUUCAGACCGGAGUAAUCCAGGUCGGUUUCUAUCUAUUACACGCCUCCCCCAGUACGAAAGGACAAGAGAGGCGGGGCCUACCUCAUCACGCGCCCCCAAACCAAACAGAUACCAUAAUAUAAAUCUGGAAGGAUAUAAACUACUAACCCUAAACCAGGGUUU
rnacentral:rRNA from 1 species